AUUGAACGCUGGCGGCAUGCUUUACACAUGCAAGUCGAACGGUAACAGGUUAAGCUGACGAGUGGCGAACGGGUGAGUAAUGCAUCGGAACGUGCUUGGUCGUGGGGGAUAACGCCGCGAAAGCUGCGCUAAUACCGCAUCCGAGCCGAGGAUGAAAGCGGGGGACCGUAAUGCCUCGCGCGAUCGGCGCGGCCGAGGUCAGAUUAGGUAGUUGGUGGGGUAAAGGCUCACCAAGCCAACGAUCGGUAGCUGGUCUGAGAGGACGACCAGCCACACUGGGACUGAGACACGGCCCAGACUCCUACGGGAGGCAGCAGUGGGGAAUUUUGGACAAUGGGCGAAAGCCUGAUCCAGCAAUGCCGCGUGCAGGAAGAAGGCCUUCGGGUUGUAAACUGCUUUUGUACGGAGCGAAAAGGUCUCCUCUAAUACAGGGGGCUCAUGACGGUACCGUAAGAAUAAGCACCGGCUAACUACGUGCCAGCCGCCGCAGUAA
rnacentral:rRNA from 1 species